ACGGAGGGAGCUAGCGUUGUUCGGAAUUACUGGGCGUAAAGCGCGCGUAGGCGGUUUUCCAAGUCAGGGGUGAAAGCCCGGGGCUCAACCCCGGAAUAGCCCUUGAAACUGGAAGACUAGAAUCUUGGAGAGGUCAGUGGAAUUCCGAGUGUAGAGGUGAAAUUCGUAGAUAUUCGGAAGAACACCAGUGGCGAAGGCGACUGACUGGACAAGUAUUGACGAUGAGGUGCGAAAGCGUGGGGAGCAAACAGGA
rnacentral:rRNA from 1 species